rnacentral:rRNA from 1 species
UGGGGAAUAUUGGACAAUGGGCGAAAGCCUGAUCCAGCCAUGCCGCGUGUGAAGAAGGUCUUCGGAUUGUAAAGCACUUUAAGUUGGGAGGAAGGGCAGUUACCUAAUACGUGAUUGUUUUGACGUUACCGACAGAAUAAGCACCGGCUAACUCUGUGCCAGCAGCCGCGGUAAUACAGAGGGUGCAAGCGUUAAUCGGAAUUACUGGGCGUAAAGCGCGCGUAGGUGGUUAGUUAAGUUGGAUGUGAAAUCCCCGGGCUCAACCUGGGAACUGCAUUCAAAACUGACUGACUAGAGUAUGGUAGAGGGUGGUGGAAUUUCCUGUGUAGCGGUGAAAUGCGUAGAUAUAGGAAGGAACACCAGUGGCGAAGGCGACCACCUGGACUGAUACUGACACUGAGGUGCGAAAGCGUGGGGAGCAAACAGGAUUAGAUACCCAAGUAGUCCCUGAGCGGGCUGGCAAGGCGCAU